CUACGGGUGGCAGCAGUGGGGAAUAUUGCACAAUGGACGAAAGUCUGAUGCAGCAACGCCGCGUGGAGGAUGACACAUUUCGGUGCGUAAACUCCUUUUAUAUGAGAAGAUAAUGACGGUAUCAUAUGAAUAAGCACCGGCUAACUCCGUGCCAGCAGCCGCGGUAAUACGGGGGGUGCAAGCGUUACUCGGAAUCACUGGGCGUAAAGAGCAUGUAGGCGGAUUAAUAAGUUGGAAGUGAAAUCCUAUAGCUUAACUAUAGAACUGCUUCCAAAACUGUUGAUCUAGAAUAUGGGAGAGGUAGAUGGAAUUUCUGGUGUAGGGGUAAAAUCCGUAGAGAUCAGAAGGAAUACCGAUUGCGAAGGCGAUCUACUGGAACAUUAUUGACGCUCAGAUGCGAAAGCGUGGGGAGCAAACAGGAUUAGAUACCCUAGUAGUC
rnacentral:rRNA from 1 species